UGCAGGCUCUAUUUCUGGCAGCUCAACUUAAGCGUGAGGAGAAGGGGUCCACCUAGAAGGAACCUUGGUUUCAGAAGAACAGUUCUUGCCCAUUUCUCCGCCAUGGUCCAACCGUUUCUCUUCCUCCUCUUCCUCCUCACCUACUUCAUUGGUGCCUCGGCCCAGUUCACCAUGACUCAGCCACCUUCUGUGUCGGCCUCCCCUGGAGAAACAGU